UUACGGCUAUAUCACGUCGAGAUUCCGGUUCUCGUACGAUCACCGAAGUUAAACAACGUCCAGCCUGGUUAAUACGUAAACGGGUGAGUACUUGGAAAUACCAGGUACUGUAAG